rnacentral:tRNA from 3 species
GCCCCUAUCGUCUAGCGGCUAGGACAGGAGAUUCUCAUUCUUCAAACCGGGGUUCGAUUCCCCGUGGGGGCACCA